CCUACCUGGCCUUACAGGAAGGUGAAGUUUUUAAUGUGUAAACCGGAGCAGAGCUUCAAGGCAAAAUAAUAUGAAUCCAUUCAGAGGAAUUACCAGGAUUAUCAAUGGAAAAGAAUGUGGCCAAGCAAGUCUGCAUUUCAGGCAGGUCUUAUAGCGCUGGUUUUCCUUCCUUUGGCUUUGCCUAGGGUGGAGGAGGAAAAGUUUCUAGCACCAGCUUGUCUACGUCUUCCGCAAGAGGUUCAUCAGUAAAAAGACUGAUGGUACAAGCCACAUCCUCGAAUAGUUUAGAUUGCACUGAAACCAACCCUGAAGUGCAAGCGCAAGAUGUAGAAAGUGGAAGUGAAAAGAAAAAAAGAAAUACCAAGACAAAUAACAUUUUGCCUCGCCUUUUGGAACUUAGCAUAUAGUCCAAAGGCUCGUGACUGGAUUCGCAGCUACUGUCCUUCCUGCUGAUGAUGGCAGUCAUGCACAGCAUCCCAGGAGAUCCAGCAUGAUGGCACCUAAGAAGAUGACCCUGUUGAUCCUCUGCUUGUACUCAAGGCUGUUCUGCAGUGAAUGAGCGUGCUUUGUAUUAGAGCAAAUGGUUGAUAUCUGUAACAAUGCAAGACAACUGAGUCAAGCUGAGCAAUUUUGCAGCUGUUUCAACACGGUUUGUCUCAGAAAAGCUCAAGCCUCUUUUUCAGUAUAGAAGAAAUCCGCUUUAUUUGAUGAGAAAAAUAAGAGCUUUGAGCUAACCUAAAAUAAAGACUUCAAUUAGUUAAAGAUCAUCCUGAGCUGGUUGAACAACUGCCCAGUGAGCCCAUUACAUGAGGAGCGUAUCUACAUACAGUCUGUGAACGACCAGAACAUGUGUGCAGGUCUGUUUUUCCUGCUAGAUGACAGUGUAAUCCUGCUCAAAAUGUGCCCACCGUGGCAGGUCCUUAGAGGGUGGGAAUCUAUUUCACAAGCUGGGUAAGGGCUCUGGUCUUUUACUUCAAGAAAAAGUAGUCAUGUUUGUAGCACUGUUUAAACCAGCAAGAUUGUAACUUUCUCAUCGUGUCCCCCACGUAAUUCUCACAACCCUAUUUACACGAUAUAAAUAUAAAAAUUCUUUGUAUACCAGCUUAUAGCUUCCCAGAGGAUGCUAGCAAAUUUCCUACCUCCUUCUUCAGA